UACGAAGGGUGCAAGCGUUACUCGGAAUUACUGGGCGUAAAGAGCUCGUAGGCGGUUCGGUAAGUCGGGUGUGAAAACUCUGGGCUCAACCCAGAGAGGCCACCCGAUACUGCUGUGACUAGAGUGCGGUAGGGGAGCGGGGAAUUCCUGGUGUAGCGGUGAAAUGCGCAGAUAUCAGGAGGAACACCAGCGGCGAAGGCGCCGCUCUGGGCCGUAACUGACGCUGAGGAGCGAAAGCAUGGGUAGCAAACAGG
rnacentral:rRNA from 1 species